AAAGAUGAAAAGGACUUUGAAAAGAGAGUCAAAAAGUGCUUGAAAUUGUUGGGAGGAAAGCGAAUGGAUGCCUUAGUUGCCUGCUGGCUGUGUGUGGAACGGUCCUUUUAAGGGCUGGUCUGCCAAUUGGCUCAGCGGGUUCUCCAGCAUGGGAGCUGGCGGUGGUAUCAAUGGCUCGGCGGCUUGCGCCUCCUGCUUAUGCUGCCGCCGUCUCCUGUGUGCAGGUGUGCGCCGGUCUCCGGCAGGGCUUUUUGCCCUUGCACUCCUCCGAUGCUGGUGCUCUGGGCGUUCCAUUCGACCCGUCUUGAAACACGGACCAAGGAGUCUAACAUGUAUGCGAGCCUGCGGGUGAUAGACCUUGCUAGGCGAAAGGAAACUGAUCUGUGGGAUCCCCAAUCGGGGUGCACCAUUGACCGACCUUGAUCUUCUGUGAAAGGUUCGAGUGAUAGUAUACCUGUUAGGACCCGAAAGAUGGUGAACUAUGCCUGAGCAGGGCGAAGCCAGAGGAAACUCUGGUGGAGGCUCGUAGCGAUACUGACGUGCAAAUCGUUCGUUGGACUUGGGUAUAGGGGCGAAAGACUAAUCGAACCAUCUAGUAGCUGGUUCCGGCUGAAGUUUCCCUCAGGAUAGCUGGAGCUCAUUUCGAGUUUUAUCGGGUAAAGCGAAUGAUUAGAGGCCUCGGGGGUGAAACACCCUCGACCUAUUCUCAAACUUUAAAUAGGUAAAGUGUCAGGG
rnacentral:rRNA from 1 species